GACGAACGCUGGCGGCGUGCUUAACACAUGCAAGUCGAACGGUAAGGCCCUUCGGGGUACACGAGUGGCGAACGGGUGAGUAACACGUGGGUGAUCUGCCCUGCACCUCGGGAUAAGCCUGGGAAACUGGGGCAAAUACCGGAUAGGACCACUGCCUGCAUGGGUGGGGGUGGAAAGCUUUUGGGGCGUGGGAUGGGCCCGCGGCCUGUCAGCUUGGUGGUGGGGUGAGGGCCUACCAAGGCGACGACGGGUAGCCGGCCUGAGAGGGUGACCGGCCACACUGGGACUGGGAUACGGCCCAGACUCCUACGGGAGGCAGCAGUGGGGAAUAUUGCACAAUGGGCGCAAGCCUGAUGCAGCGACGCCGCGUGAGGGAUGACGGCCUUCGGGUUGUAAACCUCUUUCAGCACCGACGAAGCGCAAGUGACGGUAGGUGCAGAAGAAGGACCGGCCAACUACGUGCCAGCCGCCGCCGUAACAC
rnacentral:rRNA from 1 species